rnacentral:rRNA from 1 species
AUUGAACGCUGGCGGCAGGCCUAACACAUGCAAGUCGAGCGGUAGAGAGGUGCUUGCAUCUCUUGAGAGCGGCGGACGGGUGAGUAAUGCCUAGGAAUCUGCCCUAGUGGUGGGGGAUAACGUUCGGAAACGGACGCUAAUACCGCAUACGUCCUACGGAGAAAGACGGGGGAGUCUUCGGACCUCGCGCCAUUAGAUGAGCCUAGUCGGAUUAGCUAGUUGGUGAGGUAAUGGCUCACCAAGGACGACG